rnacentral:rRNA from 1 species
UACGGAGGGUGCAAGCGUUGUUCGGAAUUACUGGGCGUAAAGGGCGCGUAGGCGGUCCGCUAAGUUCGAUGUGAAAUCCCCCGGCUCAACUGGGGAACUGCAUCGGAAACUGGUGGACUCGAGUACCGGAGAGGAGGGUGGAAUUCCUGGUGUAGCGGUGAAAUGCGUAGAUAUCAGGAGGAACACCGGUGGCGAAGGCGGCCCUCUGGACGAGUACUGACGCUGAGGCGCGAAAGCGUGGGGAGCAGACAGG